rnacentral:Y_RNA from 1 species
GCCUGGUCCAAGUGCAGUGGUGCUUACCAAUUCAGAUUUCUACGUGGCUUUUCUGCUACUGCUUCACCUGACUAGCCUACA